rnacentral:rRNA from 1 species
GGAUCAAGGAAUCGGUCAAGCCUUGGUAUGUACUGGUUUUAUUGGUUCUCACCUUCUAAAGAACCAUAAUGUCAUUUAUUUGAUGUUAUGGGGAAUUAGGACUGUUACCUUGAAAAAAUUAGAGUGUUUAAAGCAAGCUUACGCUUGAAUACAUUAGCAUGGAAUAAUGAAAUAGGACAUCAGAUUCUAUUUUGUUGGUUUCUAGGAUCGAUGUAAUGAUUAAUAGGGAUAGUUGGGGGCAUUAGUAUUCAAUUGUCAGAGGUGAAAUUCUUGGAUUUAUUGAAGACUAACUACUGCGAAAGCAUUUGCCAAGGAUGUUUUCAUUAAUCAAGAACGAAAGUUAGGGGAUCGAAGACGAUCAGAUACCGUCGUAGUCUUAACCAUAAACUAUGCCGACUAGGGAUCGGAUGAUGUUAAUUUUAUAAUGACUCAUUCGGCACCUUACGGGAAACCAAAGUGUUUGGGUUCCGGGGGGAGUAUGGUCGCAAGGCUGAAACUUAAAGGAAUUGACGGAAGGGCACCACCAGGGGUGGAGCCUGCGGCUUAAUUUGACUCAACACGGGGAAACUCACCAGGUCCAGACAUAGUAAGGAUUGACAGAUUGAGAGC